UGUGACCUCAAAUCAGGUAGGACUACCCGCUGAACUUAAGCAUAUCAAUAAGCGGAGGAAAAGAAACUAACAAGGAUUCCCCUAGUAACUGCGAGUGAAGCGGGAAAAGCUCAAAUUUAAAAUCUGGCAGUCUUUGGCUGUCCGAGUUGUAAUCUAGAGAAGCAUUAUCCGCGCUGGACCGUGUACAAGUCUCCUGGAAUGGAGCGUCAUAGAGGGUGAGAAUCCCGUCUUUGACACGGACUGCCAGGGCUUUUGUGAUGUGCUCUCAAAGAGUCGAGUUGUUUGGGAAUGCAGCUCAAAAUGGGUGGUAAAUUCCAUCUAAAGCUAAAUAUUGGCGAGAGACCGAUAGCGAACAAGUACCGUGAGGGAAAGAUGAAAAGAACUUUGGAAAGAGAGUUAAACAGUACGUGAAAUUGCUGAAAGGGAAACGCUUGAAGUCAGUCGCGUUGUCCAGGGAUCAACUCUUGCUUUUGCUUGGUGUAUUUUCUGGUUAACGGGUCAGCAUCAAUUUUGACUAUUGGAAAAAGAUCAAGGGAAUGUGGCAUCUUUAGAUGUGUUAUAGCCCUUGGUUGCAUACAUUAGUUGGGAUUGAGGAACUCAGCACGCCGAAAGGCCGAGUGUUUAACUACGUACGUGCUUAGGAUGCUGGCAAAAUGGCUUUAAUCGACCCGUCUUGAAACACGGACCAAGGAGUCUAACAUGCCUGCGAGUGUUUGGGUGGAAAACCCGAGCGCGCAAUGAAAGUGAAAGUUGAGAUCCCUGUCGUGGGGAGCAUCGACGCCCGGACUUGACCUUUUGUGACGGUUCCGCGGUAGAGCAUGUAUGUUGGGACCCGAAAGAUGGUGAACUAUGCCUGAAUAGGGUGAAGCCAGAGGAAACUCUGGUGGAGGCUCGUAGCGAUUCUGACGUGCAAAUCGAUCGUCAAAUUUGGGUAUAGGGGCGAAAGA
rnacentral:rRNA from 1 species